rnacentral:hammerhead_ribozyme from 1 species
AUGUAACUGACGAGUUCCAAAUAGGAUGAAACACGUUUCAAACUGGAU